rnacentral:rRNA from 1 species
UACGUAGGGGGCGAGCGUUAUCCAGAUUUACUGGGCGUAAAGCGCGUGUAGGCGGCUGGUUAGGUGUGAUGUGAAAUCCUCGGGCUCAACCCGAGAACUGCAUUGCAAACCGGCCUGGCUAGAGUGCAGGAGAGGGAAGCGGAAUUCCAGGUGUAGCGGUGAAAUGCGUAGAUAUCUGCAGGAACACCCGUGGCGAAAGCGGCGCGCUGGACCACUACUGACGCUGAGGAACGAAAGCUAGGGGAGCAAACAGG